GUGGGAGUAGCUCAGCGGUAGAGCCCCCUCUUCGUACGCGGGAAGAACUGGGAUCGAUUCCCGGCUGCUUUC
rnacentral:tRNA from 1 species